rnacentral:misc_RNA from 1 species
UCCCCGUUACCGGGGCAGUCUGACUAGAAAAAUACAACUAAUCAUAAGGGUUGCGCUCGUUGAAGGACUUAACCUAACAUCUCACGACACGAGCUGACGACAGCCAUGCAGCACCUGUGUUCCAAUUCCCUUUCGGGCACACCCCCAUCUCUGGAGGCUUCCUGGCAUGUCAAGGGUAGGUAAGGUUUUUCGCGUUGCAUCGAAUUAAUCCACAUAAUCCACCGCUUGUGCGGGUCCCCGUCAAUUCCUUUGAGUUUUAACCUUGCGGCCGUACUCCCCAGGCGGUCAACUUCACGCGUUAGCUUCGUUACCAAGGAAUUACUUCCCCGACAACCAGUUGACAUCGUUUAGGGCGUGGACUAC